rnacentral:rRNA from 1 species
UGGGGAAUAUUGCACAAUGGGCGGAAGCCUGAUGCAGCGACGCUGCGUGAGGGAUGACGGCCUUCGGGUUGUAAACCUCUUUCAGCAGGGACGAAGCGCAAGUGACGGUACCUGCAGAAUAAGCCCCGGCUAACUCCGUGCCAGCAGCCGCGGUAAUACGGGGGGGGCAAGCGUUGUUCGGAAUUACUGGGCGUAAAGGGCUCGUAGGCGGCCAACUAAGUCAGACGUGAAAUCCCCAGGCUCAACCUGGGAACUGCGUCUGAUACUGGAUGGCUUGAAUCCGGGAGAGGGAUGCAGAAUUCCAGGUGUAGCGGUGAAAUGCGUAGAUAUCUGGAGGAAUACCGGUGGCGAAGGCGGCAUCCUGGACCGGCAUUGACGCUGAGGAGCGAAAGCUAGGGGAGCAAA